GAACAUAAGAAGGAGGGUCGAAUAGAAUUGAAGUAACAUCUUUGUUUCAUGGCACUCAUCGGGAGCACUACAACACGAUCGACGAUCGUGUGCCUGAUGGUUGUUGCUUUGGUGGUGUUUGCUACUAUAAGCUUUACCUUGCCAUGUUGCCAUGCUGGCACUGAAUAUACUAAAAAGGCGGUGUGUGAGACGCUGGAUGCAUGUAUCUCUGAUGCUGGAUGCAAAGCUAUCUGUGAGGGUAGUGGCAUGGUUUUCUACUAUAACUCGUGUGCGGGUCGCGAUUUUCCAAUCUGUUGCUGCAUACCUAUGUAAGGGGGCGCUCUUCCGCCGUGUUGCUGCACAGAAAUAUAAAAUUUAUUGGUCGUUCUCGGCCCGAGCUAUGCAAUUCUGAAUAAUUCUAUGCUUGUAAUGCAGCUACUUAUUUUCCAUAUUGUC